CUGCGGAAGGAUCCAUUACCGAGUGUAGGGUUCCUAGCGAGCCCAACCUCCCACCCGUGUUUACUGUACCUUAGUUGCUUCGGCGGGCCCGCCAUUCAUGGCCGCCGGGGGCUCUCAGCCCCGGGCCCGCGCCCGCCGGAGACACCACGAACUCUGUCUGAUCUAGUGAAGUCUGAGUUGAUUGUAUCGCAAUCAGUUAAAACUUUCAACAAUGGAUCUCUUGGUUCCGGCAUCGAUGAAGAACGCAGCGAAAUGCGAUAACUAGUGUGAAUUGCAGAAUUCCGUGAAUCAUCGAGUCUUUGAACGCACAUUGCGCCCCCUGGUAUUCCGGGGGGCAUGCCUGUCCGAGCGUCAUUGCUGCCCAUCAAGCACGGCUUGUGUGUUGGGUCGUCGUCCCCUCUCCGGGGGGGACGGGCCCCAAAGGCAGCGGCGGCACCGCGUCCGAUCCUCGAGCGUAUGGGGCUUUGUCACCCGCUCUGUAGGCCCGGCCGGCGCUUGCCGAACGCAAAUCA
rnacentral:rRNA from 1 species